rnacentral:rRNA from 1 species
AUGGUAGAGGAGAAGAGGGAGAGGGCGGAGGAGGCGUCCGAGAGCCCGCAGAAAUCUCCGCGCCUGGACCCGCUGGCUGCGUCCGUGGCAGGUCCUGGAUGCAGCGACGCGCCUACGUCUCCGACGGAGUCGAGCGACGAGUGGCCAUCGUCGGGGGAAUCGGAGGCGGGGACAAGCAGCGACAGUACCGGCGAUGGCGGGCGGUGCGAGCACAUACGCUUGGACCGCGAACUCCUGGAUAUGCACGUGUAUUAUCUCACGGAGCAGCGAGCGGUGCUCCGGACGUGCCAUCUUAGUAAGUGCAAGACGACCUGUAAGGGCAACGAAGGGAUGAUGAAGUGCAUAGACUGCUCUAGAUUCUUCUGCUCUGGGUGGCCGGUGAACAGGGAAAGUCCGCAGGAACAUGCCCUCUGGCACGCCGGCGAGAACACUCAUUGGGUUGCUCAGUGGUGCGAUGAACCGAAUUUGGGAUACUGCUUCUUGUGUGCGCGCGGUAUGAGGCUCAGUGACCGGAGCGAAGAUGACUAUGCAGUGUCGGCCAGAAACAAAAAGGAUCAGCAAGGACUGGGGGAUAGCGUUGCAAAGUAUGGCUGGGGAUCGGUGCCUGGCAUUGCAAAGGAUGGGUGCGAGACGGGGGGCAAGAACCCGCAGAACCCUGAGAACACGCAGAAAUACCCGCACCUGGACCUGCCUGCGUCCAAGGCACCUGUGUUGUUGAGCGAGUCGCCAUCGACGGGGGAAGCGGAGGAGACCAGCGACUGCACAUACGACAUCGGGUCGUGCGAGCACUUGUUCAAGGACAGGGAGGAGCUGGAUGAUAUGGUGCAUGACAUCAAGACCGCCGAGAAGCCCCCAGAGUGCGAGCAUUUCCUGUGCACGACCACCUGCACCUGGAGGGGAGCUGCUGCUAGGUUCAUGGUGUGCACGGAGUGCACCUCUACUUUCUGCACCGGGGAGAAGGGGGGCAUGGAAAAUCCGCAGGGACACGCCCGCUUGCACGCCACCAGGGACUACCAUUGGGUUGCUCUGUGGUAUGAUGAACCGUAUAAGGGCUACUGCUUCGAGUGUGGGCACGUUCUGAAGCUCGGUCAGGACAAGCUGAGCGAUGAUGAGUGGGCAGCUCUGGCCAGAAAUAAAAGGGUUGAGCGGCCAAUGUCGGCCAGUAAUGGAUGGGAUGUGUGGGGAACGGUGCCCAAGAGUUAUGCAAAGGAUUUGUGGGCAAUAGUAACCGGCAAUGAUGCGUCUGGGUAUGCUAAUGGGAAUGGCUGUGUUAUCAGAGGGUUGCCGAAUCUUGGAAACACAUGCUACAUGAAUGCACUGCUUCAGUGCCUCCUUGCGCUCAGUGAGCUGAGGACAACGAUUUUAGGACCGGGUGCUCGGCUGGGGAGCAUUGGUCUGCUCCUGAAGCAAUUAUUUGUGGAGACAAGCAGCACAAAUGAUGCCAGGCGCGCGCUGGAUCCAGAGAUGCUAUUGGAAAGUAUGCGGAUGUUUAAUCCACAGUUCAAGGGCUCUUAUAUGCAGGACAGCCAAGAGUUUCUUACAUCUUUGCGCACUGCUUUGGAGGAGGAGACGAAGGGCCUAAACAAACUUCAUGGGGGUGCAGAGUUUCGUCCAAUUGGCAAUUCCAUUUUCGGGGGCUGGCUGCGUCAGACCUUAUACUGCAUAAGUUGCCAAACUAAAUCAGUUUUGGAUCUGCAAUUCGAUGAGCUCCAACUGGCACUGCCAUCAAAGGAUUGUCCAGCCAGGAGUGUUACGUUACCACCAAUGACCAGAAGCGGUGGAUCUCCGAUGAAGACUCGUAAGGAACUAUUCCAACAAACCGACAAGACUGAUGGAGAAAAGAUUCAAACAAUUGCUGAAGGCUGUGAUUCUCAGUUUCCUGGUUCAGAAUUUGGAGAUGAGGCCAUGGAGAAAAUACCCAAGCCUUCACAAGUUGAUGACACUUUUGGAAAUGGAGCUCUGGUGAUAGCUAAGCAGAGAAAAUUGUUGAUGCCAUUUUACAUAUGGAAUAAAGAAGUAGCAGCAAAGCCUUCGGGGUGGCUACGAAAAAUUGGGCUGGAUGUUUCAACAGUCUUAUCAUGGCAAAAGUAUUCUACUAAAGUGGAGGAUGUUGCACACGGUCGUUUGCAGACUCAGAAGAAUGAUGUCCCACGAGAGAUCAUUGAAGUGCCAAUAAAAGCUCUUGAUUUCAUUCCUAACCUGUUUGAUGACACUGAAGGAAUGGAUGAAUCAAUAGUAGAUCCUCACAGUCCAAAAGAUACUGGUCCACCUCCACUUGUUGAUAUAGAAGCCAAGGAGAACACUUACUCAGUAGAACCUACUACAGAAGACAAGGGGAGAGCUCAGAGCAGUGAUAUUACUGAUGAUGAGGCAGUACAUAUGAACUCUGUUGCAUCGCUCGAGGACUGCUUGACACUUCUUUGCUAUUGUCCGAUGAGAUGGAAAUGUGAUAACUGUUCCAAGGUUCCUGAGCUGCCAAGAACAAAUGGAAGUGAAAAUGGUCAACCGAUGAUAGCAAGUACCAAUGUAAAUCCAACAGUUGAAGGAGACCAGACUGAACUAUCAGACAGGAAAACAUGCCCAAGUGAGCGAUCUAAUGAUUUGAAUAGCUUGUCGGUAGAAUGUACUUCUACAAGUAGACAACCACAUGGUUCAGAUGCACAUCAUCAAGUUAUUCUUUCUGAGAACAGAGUUCAUGAAGAAAUCACUUCAGGGAUGAGCUAUGAUGAAAAGAACUCGGCCUCUUGCUGCACUACCAAUAGAAAACCUGAAAGUCAGGAAGGUGUUCAGGAAGCUGCACCUAGUUCCUAUCCAACUCAUAAACAGACUGACCUGUUGAGUACCCAGGAUAGUCAGGAUAACAGCGACCAAAAUCAAGGCAGUGGGAAGCAGGUAAAGCUGGAUGAUCAUAGCGCACAACAAGCGGAAGAAAACCAAAGUGAGCAGAAACAUGGGACUGGUGGUUUUCAAAUACAAUUGGUUACUAAGCUGCCACCUGUACUAACCAUUCAACUGAAGAGAUUCACCAAUGCUCUUUCUAAAACGAGAGGACAUGUGAGCUUUAAGGAGAUUCUUCAUGUAGAACCGUUCAUGGACCCCAGUUCCGAGGACAAAGGUAACUCCAGCUAUCGCCAAGUCGGUGUCAUUGAGCACCAUGGCCACACCUUGAAUGUAGGGCACUAUGCUGCUUAUGUGAGGGCAGGUCGCAAGGAGCAGAGCAGUGGUUCUUCCUCAUGGGUUUGCGCAACCGAUCGCGUCAUCAAGGAAGUCCCUCUAAAAGAAGUUCUCGGGUGCGAGGCGUACAUGCUUUUCUAUGAGAGGAUGGAUGGCCGAGGCAUAUCUGGGAGCCUACCCACCAACUAA